rnacentral:rRNA from 1 species
GAUGAACGCUGGCGGCGUGCUUAACACAUGCAAGUCGAACGAAGCUCUUCAGUUUGCGUUUUCGGACAAGAAGUGGAGAUGACUUAGUGGCGGACGGGUGAGUAAUGCGUGAGCAACCUGCCCUUCAGAGGGGGACAACAGUUGGAAACGACUGCUAAUACCGCAUGAAGCAGCGAGUAGGCAUCUACUUGCUGCCAAAGAUUUAUCGCUGAAGGAUGGGCUCACGUCUGAUUAGCUAGUUGGUGAGGUAACGGCCCACCAAGGCAACGAUCAGUAGCCGGACUGAGAGGUUGACCGGCCACAUUGGGACUGAGAUACGGCCCAGACUCCUACGGGAGGCAGCAGUGGGGAAUAUUGGGCAAUGGGCGCAAGCCUGACCCAGCAACGCCGCGUGAAGGAAGAAGGCUUUCGGGUUGUAAACUUCUUUUGGCAGGGACGAAGAACGUGACGGUACCUGCAGAAUAAGCUCCGGCUAACUACGUG